rnacentral:rRNA from 1 species
AACGAACGCUGGCGGCAUGCCUAACACAUGCAAGUCGAACGAACCCUUCGGGGUUAGUGGCGCACGGGUGCGUAACGCGUGGGAACCUGCCUUUUGGUUCGGAAUAACAGUGAGAAAUUACUGCUAAUACCGGAUAAUGUCUUCGGACCAAAGAUUUAUCGCCAUUAGAUGGGCCCGCGUAAGAUUAGCUAGUUGGUGGGGUAAAGGCCUACCAAGGCGACGAUCUUUAGCUGGUCUGAGAGGAUGAUCAGCCACACUGGGACUGAGACACGGCCCAGACUCCUACGGGAGGCAGCAGUGGGGAAUAUUGGACAAUGGGCGAAAGCCUGAUCCAGCAAUGCCGCGUGAGUGAUGAAGGCCUUAGGGUUGUAAACCUCUGUCACUGGGGAAGAAACGCUUCAAGUUAACAGCUUGAAGCCUGACUUAACCCGGAGAGGAAGCAGUGGCUAACUCUGUGCCAGCAGCCGCGGUAAU